rnacentral:rRNA from 1 species
GGGUUGUGAGGUUAAGCGACUAAGCGUACACGGUGGAUGCCCUGGCAGUCAGAGGCGAUGAAGGGCGUGCUAAUCUGCGAUAAGCGCCGGUAAGGUGAUAUGAACCGUUAUAACCGGCGAUACCCGAAUGGGGAAACCCAGUGUGAUUCGUCACACUAUCAUUAACUGAAUCCAUAGGUUAAUGAGGCGAACCGGGGGAACUGAAACAUCUAAGUACCCCGAGGAAAAGAAAUCAACCGAGAUUCCCCCAGUAGCGGCGAGCGAACGGGGAGGAGCCCAGAGCCUGAAUCAGCAUGUGUGUUAGUGGAAGCGUCUGGAAAGGCGCGCGAUACAGGGUGACAGCCCCGUACACAAAAGCGCAUGUGCUGUGAGCUCGAUGAGUAGGGCGGGACACGUGGUAUCCUGUCUGAAUAUGGGGGGACCAUCCUCCAAGGCUAAAUACUCCUGACUGACCGAUAGUGAACCAGUACCGUGAGGGAAAGGCGAAAAGAACCCCGGCGAGGGGAGUGAAAAAGAACCUGAAACCGUGUACGUACAAGCAGUGGGAGCACAGGUUUACCUGUGUGACUGCGUACCUUUUGUAUAAUGGGUCAGCGACUUAUAUUCUGUAGCAAGGUUAACCGUAUAGGGGAGCCGAAGGGAAACCGAGUCUUAACCGGGCGUUAAGUUGCAGGGUAUAGACCCGAAACCCGGUGAUCUAGCCAUGGGCAGGUUGAAGGUUGGGUAACACUAACUGGAGGACCGAACCGACUAAUGUUGAAAAAUUAGCGGAUGACCUGUGGCUGGGGGUGAAAGGCCAAUCAAACCGGGAGAUAGCUGGUUCUCCCCGAAAGCUAUUUAGGUAGCGCCUCGUGAAUUCAUCUCCGGGGGUAGAGCACUGUUUCGGCUAGGGGGCCAUCCCGGCUUACCAACCCGAUGCAAACUGCGAAUACCGGAGAAUGUUAUCACGGGAGACACACGGCGGGUGCUAACGUCCGUCGUGAAGAGGGAAACAACCCAGACCGCCAGCUAAGGUCCCAAAGUCAUGGUUAAGUGGGAAACGAUGUGGGAAGGCCCAGACAGCCAGGAUGUUGGCUUAGAAGCAGCCAUCAUUUAAAGAAAGCGUAAUAGCUCACUGGUCGAGUCGGCCUGCGCGGAAGAUGUAACGGGGCUAAACCAUGCACCGAAGCUGCGGCAGCGAACGUAUCACUUAAAGCGAUUCAGCGGGUUACGAUUGACGGAGCGAAGCGACGUCAAAGCGUAUACAAAGUCGAGUCGGUUUA